rnacentral:rRNA from 1 species
CCGGAGGUAGAGCUACUGGAUGGCUGAUGGGCCCUACAAGGUUACUGACGUCAACCAAACUCCGAAUGCCGGUGAAGUGUAAGCGUGGCAGUGAGACUGUGGGGGAUAAGCUUCAUAGUCGAAAGGGAAACAGCCCAGACCAUCAACUAAGGCCCCUAAGCGUGUGCUAAGUGGGAAAGGAUGUGGAGUUGCUUAGACAACCAGGAGGUUGGCUUAGAAGCAGCCACCCUUGAAAGAGUGCGUAAUAGCUCACUGGUCAAGUGAUUCCGCGCCGAUAAUGUAGCGGGGCUCAAGUACACCGCCGAAGUUGUGGCAUGACACCGUGUAGCCGAGCCGUUUGUGGUUGAGGUGGUGUUGUGGGUAGGGGAGCGUCGUUGGGGUAGUGAAGCUGCGGGGUGACCCAGUGGUGGAACCUCAACGAGUGAGAAUGCAGGCAUGAGUAGCGAUAGACGGGUGAGAAACCCGUCCGCCGGAUGAUCAAGGGUUCCAGGGUCAAGCUAAUCUGCCCUGGGUGAGUCGGGACCUAAGGCGAGGCCGACAGGCGUAGUCGAUGGACAACGGGUUGAUAUUCCCGUACCGACGAAGAACCGACCCUAUCGAACCGGGGAUACUAACCACCCGAACCAUCACGAUCCGUGGCCGUUUACGGUCACGGGAGUGUGUGGGGAGCGUGGGACCUGAUCCGGGGAGGUAAACGUGUUAACAGGUGUGACGCAGGAAGGUAGCCGAGCCAGGCGAUGGUUGUCCUGGUCUAAGCAUGUAGGGCGACCCGUUGGUAAAUCCGCGGGUCAUGGGCCUGAGAUGUGAUGGGACUCUCUUAGGUGAGGGAAUUCGGUGAUCCUAUGCUGCCAAGAAAAGCAUCGACGUGAGGUUCUAGUCGCCCGUACCCUAAACCGACACAGGUGAUCAGGUAGAGAAUACUAAGGCGUUCGAGAGAAUCAUGGUUAAGGAACUCGGCAAAAUGCCCCCGUAACUUCGGGAGAAGGGGGGCCCUGGUUGGUGAACACCCACGCGGUGUGAGCUGGUCGGGGUCGCAGAGGCUAGAGGGAAGCGACUGUUUAUCAAAAACACAGGUCCGUGCGAAGUCGUAAGACGAUGUAUACGGACUGACUCCUGCCCGGUGCUGGAAGGUUAAGAGGACUCGUUAAACCCUUCGGG